UAUUAAACCACAUCUUAUCUCAAUUGUUUUCUUUCAGCCAAAGCUGCACCAAACCUACCACCGGGUAUGCCUAUAUUACCAAAUCAGUAUCUGAUGCAUAAUCCAUUACUGGUCAAUGCUUAUGCACCUCAAUAUUUUAAUCUUGAUGAAAUGAUUUUACAAUCAAGGAUGCCAAUGUUUGCACAACAGACAGCACUUGCUACUGGACGUGAUGCUAGCGGGCUCAGCAAUACUGCCUACUCGGUAACAGAAGCAAGUAAAUUUCAAAGAAC